ensembl:miRNA
AGGUGGGAGGAUUGCUUGAGCCCAGGAGGUGGAGGCUGCAGUAAGCUGAGAUUGUACCACUGCACUCCAGCCUGAGUGACAGAGCAAGACCCUGUCUCA